NAGCAGAAGAAGUUGAGGGAACCAGGUUUGCUAAAGUAAUUAUGGGGAUAGGAAUGAUUGGCCUCAGAAGCUACUGACAUGGCCUACUCUAUCCUAGUACAGUU
rnacentral:snoRNA from 1 species